CGAGGUGUUGUGCCCUGAGAACUGAAUUCCAUAGAUGGUGGCUACUGGAGAUGUCAUCUAUGGGCUCAGUUCUUCUGGCAAGGCACUGCUUA
rfam:Salmo salar isolate Sally breed double haploid chromosome ssa01, whole genome shotgun sequence.